GCUCUCGAGAUUUGUCAGUAAAAUAACGCCAUAACUGGGUUGAGCUUUUAAUGACAAUAGCAUAAUUAAUCACACUCGAAUAUUUGAGCUUUGAAUCUUUAUGUUGUAGUCUCUUCUGAUAAGCGCAUGUAUUUCAGUGUAUUUUUCUCCUCGCUGUUUUUCCCCUCAAUCAGAUUUCUCGUUGGAUUUUGAAACUUAAAGGCAGAAAUGGCGCAACAUCUGCAAAGCAAGAGAGACCAAAGCCCAAGUGAUCGUCCCAACAUGAGUGAUCUGAGGAUUGUCCUGGUGGGGAAAAACGAGUCAGAAAACAACAGAGU